GCAAGCGGGUUAGCUGGCUUUCGGAGCCCUGCUGUAACAGGCAAGUUUUUCCUUGAAUGAAAAACGGGUUUCUGAGGAAGGUCCGCCCACACUGUCUCUGCGGAGACAGCAGCAGCCAAUCAUUAAAUGGUGUGGGGGUGAUUUCACAUCGUGAGGGAUAUGCCGUGAGGUAUGGCUCUGGCACAGAAACGGCACAGCUGCUUUUGAGCAAUGAACCUGAAGUGAGCAAAGAAAAGGCAGAAUUGAUGAAACGGCCACCCUUGGCUUGUGCAAGUGCGAAGCACGCUCAGUCAAAUGUCAGCAAUAAAGAACCAAGGUUCCCAAGAAAAUCCAAGGGAUUUUCUGGGCCCGAAAAUCAGGCAAGGCUCACCGAGGUGAGAAUCACAAGAUUUUCGUGGCUUUAGAAUUCCUAGAUACAGGAGUUCUUUAGAACUCCUAUUCUUUAUACAAAAGGCGGCCUAUUGCCCGCUUGC
rnacentral:RNase_P_RNA from 1 species